rnacentral:rRNA from 1 species
UACGUAGGGUGCGAGCGUUGUCCGGAAUUAUUGGGCGUAAAGAGCUCGUAGGCGGUCUGUCGCGUCGAUCGUGAAAACUUGGGGCUUAACCCUGAGCUUGCGGUCGAUACGGGCAUGACUGGAGUUCGGCAGGGGAGACUGGAAUUCCUGGUGUAGCGGUGAAAUGCGCAGAUAUCAGGAGGAACACCGGUGGCGAAGGCGGGUCUCUGGGGCCGAUACUGACGCUGAGGAGCGAAAGCGUGGGGAGCGAACAGG